UACACCACCUUCUGAAAUGGCACUUCAUCAACUUGUCAAGACUCUCCUGAAAAAAACUACGCUGGCUGCAAAGCUAUCUGCCAAGAAACAGGCAUCCAUAUGCAGAGAUGAAAAUGGUAAUUUUCAAGUAGAGAAGAAAAGAAUUUGACCCUUAGAAACUACACAGCAGAUUAGAAAAUGUCAUUGUUUUUGAAAAG